UUGAUUUCCUCUAUGUUCUAAUCUCAGGCUUUGGCAUUUUGAAACUGGGAUUUUUGUUCACCAUUCUGUAAUUUUUAUAAUUUUGAUGCUUAGUUGCUCUGAGUUUGUUUUUGUCUGUUGUUGUUUUUUUUUUUGUUUGUUUGUUUGUUUUUUGGCAACGUUAAUAAAGGGGCUCGCUUUGUAAAGACAAGUUUUAUUCCCCUUAUAGUUCUAGAAGUAGGGCAAGCAUGAUUUAAAUGCAAGAAAUAUAUAUUCAUUCUUUCUUCUGGUGAACUGCAAGUAAGCAGUGGAAACAUUUAUCCAGGUAUUUACACAAAAUAUUUUUCUGGAGUAGCUGAGCCACCACAAAUCAAACCAAGCAUGGAGAAUCCAACUUGCUCUGUUUUAGGAACAGGACCCCCUCAUACUUAUUAUAUUUUUGUUUUAAUUUUUUUCUUCUUUUUUUCUUUU
rnacentral:lncRNA from 1 species